GCCCCGGUGGCGAAACCCGGUAGACGCAGCAGACUUAAAAUCUGCUGGCCGUAAGGCCGUGCCGGUUCAAAUCCGGCCCGGGGCACCA
rnacentral:tRNA from 1 species